GGCCCUUUGGCCCAAUGGUAAGGCGUCUGACUACGACCAAACAUGGUAAAACGUGCUGAAGAAGUAAUCAGGAGAUUCUGGGUUCGAGCCCCAGGAGGGUCA